rnacentral:rRNA from 1 species
AUUGAACGCUGGCGGCAUGCUUUACACAUGCAAGUCGAACGGUAACAGGUCUUCGGAUGCUGACGAGUGGCGAACGGGUGAGUAAUACAUCGGAACGUGCCUGGUAGUGGGGGAUAACUACUCGAAAGAGUAGCUAAUACCGCAUGAGAUCUACGGAUGAAAGCAGGGGACCUUCGGGCCUUGUGCUACUAGAGCGGCUGAUGGCAGAUUAGGUAGUUGGUGGGGUAAAGGCUUACCAAGCCUGCGAUCUGUAGCUGGUCUGAGAGGACGACCAGCCCCACUGGGACUGAGACACGGCCCAGACUCCUACGGGAGGCAGCAGUGGGGAAUUUUGGACAAUGGGCGAAAGCCUGAUCCAGCAAUGCCGCGUGCAGGAUGAAGGCCCUCGGGUUGUAAACUGCUUUUGUACGGAACGAAAAGCCUGGGGCUAAUAUCCCCGGGUCAUGACGGUACCGUAAGAAUAAGCACCGGCUAACUACGUGCCAGCCGCCGCGGUAAAAC